AAGAUACUAGUAAAACACCAUUACAUUGUUUUGUCAAAGCAAAAUCAUGGGUUAAAACCCCAUGUAUCUUA
rnacentral:tRNA from 1 species